rnacentral:rRNA from 1 species
GACGAACGCUGGCGGCGUGCUUAACACAUGCAAGUCGAACGAAGUGGCGAACGGGUGAGUAACGCGUAAUCAACCUGCCCUUCAGAGGGGGACAACAGUUGGAAACGACUGCUAAUACCGCAUACUGAUGGAGGGGAUUGCGUCUGAUUAGCUAGUUGGAGGGGUAACGGCCCACCAAGGCGAUGAUCAGUGGCCGGUCUGGAGGUAGGAACGGCCACAAUGGGAAUGGGACACGGCCCAAGACCCUACGGGAGGCAGCAGGGGGGGAUCUUUCGCAAUGGACGAAAGUCUGACGGAGCAACGGCGCGGGAGUGAUAGCGGCCUUUGGGUUGUAAAGCUCUGUUAAGCGGGACGCGGUACCGGAAUAGAAAGCCACGGCUAACUACGUGCCAGCAGCCGCGGUAAUUC